ensembl:lncRNA
GUGUUAUGCCAAAGUAGACACUAAAAGGAAAAAAAAAAAAAAAAAAAAAAAGAACAAACCCAAGGGCCAGCGGAAAUGAACUCUGCAUUCCAUGGCAGAGAGAAGCUCAGAAGAAGAUAUUUCAGGCUGCAGCUAUUUACAGGAACUGCACUACUAAUAGGACAGAAACUGAAUAGCUGAGAAGACCAAGUACCUACACGGCUUCUUCUCUGUAUAAAUUCAAAGGUCAUACUGUACAAUGAUAGAAAAAUUUGAAUGUACAAAAAUGGAAAAGAUUGGAAUAUUUUAUCUUUUAGAGAUUACAAAGGGUAGGAAGCUACCAUUGCGUGUACCAGAAAUACUGGAGAAAUAUAAAAUCCAGCUUGAACAUCACUAAUCUAGCUGAAGGUUCAGUACUUUAAGGAGAGGGGCAAAUCUUCAGCUAUGAGAAGUAUUCAAAGUAGACCUAAAACACCUUGUGAGAAACAAAUCUUUCCCAGGACUAAAUAACACAUACUCCAAAAUGUUUCCUCACAACCUUUUUAGUAACACAAUCCUACAUUUACUUUCUGCAAUAGAAACUGCUACUGGAAUGUUUAAAAAUACACCAAAACAAAAUAAAAUAUAAACAAGUACAAUACAGAUGAGGGAGUGAGGCUGCUUCAGUGCAGCUGAUCAUACAUACCCUGCUUUCUAUCUGUGCUAUUUUUUUAACCUUGUUGUAGGACUGCUCAUUUCCUAGUACACAUUGUUCCUCUCAUCUGUAUUGCAGCUGAUUUCACCCCCAAUACAUUUGUUACUCUGGGUUGAGGUGAGCAGAAGGGACAUGUCAAUUUGUUUAGGCACUUUCAUUGUUUAGGCCCUAACUAAGAGGAACAAGCCUUUGGAGUCAACAAAAAGGGCACCAGCCAGCACCAAGCUCAGCCACUUGCUGAAAAGCAAAGGAUUCCCAGAUGGUGGGGGCUGAGGGCUGCCUCUGCUGCAAACAGAGCACACAUACUGCAUGACAGGAAAAUCUGUGUGUGUCCUUACAGCUCCCAGCUGUCCACUCUUUAGAGCUAAAGACAGCUUCUGCCAUUUCAAGGCACUAUUUAUAAGUAGCCCUGCAAAGUACCAGAAGGAGCAAAGACGUCAUAGCCUGGAACUGGGCACCAGCUGCCAUCGGGAGCCCAGACUGGCACAACUUUCUCCUGGGGGUUUUUCAUUUCGUGCUACUGAGGUGACACUGCCACCAGUAAGUGCUGCUCACCCCCCUUGUGAGAUGCUGCUCAUCCACCUUGUGGAGAUAGGCACUGGGGGUCUCCAGGUGCAGAGAAGCCCAAGGCUUUGCUGUUAAGUCUUGAGAGAUUUCCUUGCUCAUGUUUUUGUUUACAUGUUCUCAACAAAAAUAAUUUCGUUUGUGGAGGGCAAAACAAGAGCCAAGAACUGCAUUUUCCUACUGCAAGAUAAGAAACUUCAGCAUUCUCAUACCAGAAUAGCCACCAGAAAUAUCAUGUAACUAUUGACGUGAGAGCUUCUUUCUCCAGUAACUGUAUUUCCCAGGGCUUUCUGUGAUUGCUUGUCUAAUAAUACUUUCUCAUUUAGUGAAAACAGACUCAUUCUCUAGCAACACACCUUAGAACUCCACUAAAUAAUAAUUUCUAAAUAAUUAACUUGCAGUCCCAGCAAACUUUCGGCACAAAAGACAGUUAGUUAGCAACUAAAAAGUGUCUUUUCUCUCUAACUUCUUCUGGCCUUCCACCUCACAUGCAAAAUGACACAUGUUGCCCACAACUAAGGAAUUUUCAAUUAAGCAUUACAGAAGCCAUUAACCAUUCAUCAGUAGUACUAAAUAUUUCGGUUCAUAAUUUCUUGGACAAAUAUCACAUUAGAAUAAGACUUCUAAAGAAGUGAUUGAUGCGACAAAGUCAGGUUCAAUAAAAACGUGGUGAUUCCCUUUAGACCUAUACACACUGUCCUUGUGAUUAAAAAUGAAAAAUAUUGGUAGACAAAGCAUCCUGUAUGAUCUGAGGCACUUGAGCCUUUUGCUAAAGAAAAACCUGAAAUGAAUCUGGGGUGGAUAAGAAGUGCUUGAAUUUAGAACUUAAUAUUACCACGUUCAUUCAAUCUUAUACCUGCUGUAGAGAAGCAAACAUUCAGCACAUUCAGUACAUUCAGUGUGAGAGUUAUCACCACUAUGAUGAUAUACAAUAGUGAACACAUGCAAACAGAACACAAAAAUUACCUUUUCUAGAAUUCUACACCUGAUCCUUACAAAAACUCCCUACCCAAGCCUUUUUUCAUUCCAAGAAGGGAGAAUAACUCAAUUAAAUGUUAUUAGUCUGGUAAGCCCCAUCUUUUGUUCAGGUAUUAAAAUACCAGGUAAUAUUCCAGCCUAGUUAAGCUUGGAGAGAAGAGUUUAUUACAUUAUUAUUUUUUAAAUACUGGAAAAAAUUAAGGGGGGAGGGAUUUGUCACUAUUAAAUACAAACAUAUUGAAAAAAAUACAUGUAUCCAUUUAUCUGUGGAUAUAUCACAGAAUUUAGCCUGAGAUGGAGUGCAUUGACUGAGAAUCCUUACAAAAAUAAAAUUAAAGCUGGUUCUAACCAACUCUUUGGAGCAUCAAUGUCCACCCCAACAAGCCAUGUUCUGGAAGAUGUACAGACACAACUUCCUUAGCCAGUCCUGGGUAACCAGGCAUUUUGUCACCCAUGACAUCAGGUUUCUCAGCCCGGCUGCCCAAGGAAUGCUUUUCCAUCUCAGUUAUUAUGUCAGUGAUGGAAAUUAGAGUGGCAGCAGCAUCCUUGAACUGAAGAGUGCAUUUCUGAAAGCCACAAUGUUUGGAGGAACUUCCUCUCAGCCUCAGUGUGGCAGCCUUUGGCAGAACCUGAAGAAAGCAGCCAGACAACAUAUGUCAGUCCUUGACACACCCUGCCCAGAGGUGGAAGCAGCACCUGUGGAAGGAUCUUAUAAGCACUAAGCCAAGUUUUCAGUGCAGCAGUACUGGCUCAGGGAGAAAGCUGAGCUUUAACCCAAAUACACUAUUUAAAUACAUAGCUGGAUGCUCCACAAUGAAUAUGAAUUUACAGCUAUUUAACACUUCAUAAACAUGUUUAGCAACUGAGCUUUUUGAUAUCCCAUUUUGUUAUCAAGCUGCCUUCCAAGCCUGCAAGCAAAGAUAACAGAGAAUCAGCAUUAGUUUCUCCAAGGGAAGGCAAAAGACAACAAAAAUAUAUUUAAUAUAUAUAAGAACAAAAUAUAUUCUUAUAUUCAUAUUUGGUAUGCAUAUUUUUGGGAGUUAUACAACUUAAGUUCUGCAAGGCAAUUUUCUGAACUUUCACUGACAAACAAAUCUGAUCUGAAAAAUCUUACAUCAGCAGGGUUGGUUUGCAGAUGUUAUUUGUGCCAUUUAUUUAUCAAAAAUAACUAGAAAAUGUUUUUAAAACAUCAUUCCAGACUGUACAAAUAGGAAUGUGACAUGGGCUGUCCAUUUUACUUAUACUGUUUUACUGCUUCGUAUUCUGAGCAAACAGAGAGGCUAUAUUCCCCAGGGGUUCAGGAGGGCAUACUAUUUCAUUUCUUCAGAAAAUUGUUUCUCUGGAUUUCAAUCUUUUUAGCUAGAUAUGACAAAAUAUAAUAUCAAGAACACUUAUGCUUUUUAUCAGCUCUAUUUUCAAAGCAUAAAUAAUAGAUCAGUAUAUAUUUAAGUCAGGUGACCAAGUCUUAUUUCUGAAAUCAAAUAAGCAUUUUGCAAUUUUUAAACGAUGCUGUACAUUUUCACUACAGCAUCAUUAUGCCUUUAAAAUGCUUUCAAAAGACUAAUUUAUAAGCAUGAAGUGAAUUUGAAGACAUUUCACUAGUGUUAAUAAUACCUCACUCAGGUAGCAUUCAAUUUUCUGAGUUCUUGGGUUAAUGAGGCAAAUAAAUCAAAAUUAAAUUGGCCUAGGGAAAAAAAAUCAAACAAAAUUGCAUCUAUUACGUUAUACAUUCUGAGACUCCUUCAGUACUGUUCACAAUGGCAAACAAUAUUCCAGCUCUCAGAAUCAUUACACUUACUCAGAAUCAGAGAUUAAUCUCACAAUCUGAGAUUUAAAAUCAAAUAGAUCAGACUUCAUGACUAGACAAACAUAAUGCCUUAUUAUGAUGUAUCAGGAGUAUUCACAAAAUGUUGUGCACAGUCUUAGCCAAGUACUUUCCAUUAAGUGUCCAUAAUUUCAGCUGCCUACCACUUCUUCAAUAAUUCAACCAAUUCCUUCCAAAGGAUUUUACCAUUGCAACCUGCUAGGUCUUUUCUUUUAAGAUAAGCCUGAAAAAGAAAAUACACUGUGCAAUCAGGCUAUCAUUCACCAUUUUUUAAAAAGCCCCAAAAUCACAUAGAUCUAGGCAAAUAGCUGAAACAAACAAAAAUCC